ACAGUGGAUUUCAUCUGAUGGAUGGUAAUUUGAUUGGCGUAAAUUUGGAAGUAAUUCUGACUCUGUGCCUAAUUUAAGAAAUAAAUCACUCACAACAUUGUUCUUUUAGGAGGAUGGGAUUCGAACGUCAUAUUUUUCUCCAUUUGUUCUUGAGAAUAAUGUGGUGGUCAACUAAAUUACCCUAAUUGGUUCAUAUGGAUUAAUCUUGCAUGUCAUCAUUAGCACCAACUAUUACAUCACACUGCAUGAAAAUGUUUCUUAUUGAUAGAACUGUCUGCAUAAAGAACAGAAAUUACUGUUGUGAUGUUUAAUUAUUUAUGCUGAG
rnacentral:misc_RNA from 1 species